rnacentral:rRNA from 1 species
AUUGAACGCUGGCGGCAGGCCUAACACAUGCAAGUCGAGCGAGCGGCGGACGGGUGAGUAAUGUAUGGGGACUGCCCGAUAGAGGGGGAUAACUACUGGAAACGGUAGCUAAUACCGCAUACUAUCGGAUAACCCAUAUGGGAUUAGCUAGUAGGUUAGGUAAUGGCUAACCUAGGCGACGAUCCCUAGCUGGUCUGAGAGGAUGAUCCGCCAAACUGGGAAUGAAACACGGCCCAGAGUCCUACGGAGGCAGCAGUGGGGAAUAGUGCACAAUGGGCGCAAGCCUGAUGCAGCCAUGCGGCGGGUAUGAAGAAGGCCCUAGGGUUGUAAGGUACGUUCAGUCGGGAGGCGUUACCGACAGAAGAAGCACCGGCUAACUCCGUGCCAGCAGCCGCGGUAAUAC